UCGAUGUUUCAAAAACAUCGAUACAUCGUUUGCAUCCCUACACGUUCAUAGUUCAGCGAAUAAAAACACAGAUACUACGUUAGCUAUGUCAUGUUGCUCGAAUGAUGAAAGCGCUUCAGCUUGGAAAGUGUUCAAUGCAGUACCCGCUGGUGGAAGCAGAGGAACAGUAAGCCCUCCAUUCCGUUUGAAAAACCAGGUAAAAAGUGACCUGGUUUCUAUUGGUAUUUCCAAUUGGCGCCAGACAGCAAAAAGGAGAGAAAACUAGCGCAAGACUAGAUUCGCCUAUAAUAUGCAUAAGCGGUGCAUACGGCAAAUAUGUAUGUAUAUAUAAAUAAGAUCAGGUUGGCCAGACUCUCCCCAUGCCAAAUCUUCGUUUGAAAGUGCAGAAGAUAUAUUACGUCUUUAAAAAAUCAAAAUUGUUUUUGAAAGAUCUGAAGAAAUUAUAUUUAAUAUUUGUUUCGUUUAUUUAGGAUAAAGAGUGAAUUUAUCGAUUUGUUAUUUUAAUUCUAUGGUUUAUUCAUCUAGGAAAGAGAGAACCUUUAAUUUGUAAUACUAUUUUUAAUUAUUUUUUUUUAUUUACAAGUGGUUGAUGAUCAAGACGGUCCUUUUGACGGUUUUUUGGUUAGACUCUUUAACAGAGUUAUUGAAAAUAUGAUUCUAAACCUUACUCAGUGUAUGACACAAUUUUUGUAUACUAUGCAAACAUGAUUUCAUCAAAUCACAAAACCAAAUGUUACAAACCUUAUUACCUAAAAAGUUAGUAAACUAAAUAUUUGUAUAUGGAAUGCCAACAGUGUAAAUCAACACAAACUGGAGAUAUUACGAUUUCUGACUGAAAAAUACUACUGUCAGAAACUCAUUUAGCAAAUAUAAAUAAUUUCUUUAUACCGGUAUAUUUUUGUAUUACUAAUUUGCAUCGAAAUUAAUCUAAUGCGCAAGUUAAUGUAAAUUAAGCCGUCUGUCAUGGCUAUAAUGCAGUUGUAUUGACAAAACCAAAAAGAACAUUAAAACAGUUGGUUUAAGAAAGAUCACUAAUAUAGAAAACCUUUUAAAUGAGAAAAGCAAUGCUAGACGUGAAUGACAGUUAAGCCGUUCCCUCUUUGCUUCAACUGAAAUCUGCUUUACGUAAGUUGAAUAAGCGCUUAAACGCGAGGAAGAAUACAACAAUCAAAAUCAUAUAAAGAAACUGUGUCGAAAUUCUAGCAAGCAAACUUCCAUUUGGAAAGCCUAAAAGUAUUUUAAGCCACUAGUGGAUUCCAACAUGCUUAUAAGACAGUUGAAUGGUAAUUUGGCACGUAGAGAUAAAACCGAAAAAGGCUUCGGGACACGAUAAUAUUACUCCAAAAAUGUUAAUUGAGUAACCAAAUAUGUAAUGCUCUCCGUGCAAUUCUUGGUUUCCGGCACUACCCAAUUGCGUGGAAAAAUCGCAGAUCAUCAUGGUAGUUAAACCUGGAAAAGACUUAACACAUACGUCUCCCUACAAACCAAAAAGUCUAAGUAGGUAAAUAGAAUUACUUUUGAAAUGAGGAAGGCAUUCGAGCACAGAGAGUACUGUUCAGCUGUUUUUCUAGAUGUAGCGCAGGCGUUCGAUAAGAUCUGGCAUCAAGCUUUUAUUGAAAAAUCAAAAACGUUUUACCUUACGAAUUGCAGAACACAUUGGAGUCAUAUUUAAAAAACAGUUAAAGUUAAAGCAGAUUUCAUCUCAGAGGAAUGAGGAAUAACGGCUGGAUUACAUCAGGGUAGUGUAUUAGAGAUUCCAAUCUAAAAUGCUUAGAGCAAUCAUGGGUUCACCAUGGUACAUGGGUAACGAAAAUAUAUAUAAAAAUCUUGAUACUCCUAUGGUAAAGAAGGAGAUAGGUAGGAUAAUUAGAGAUUUACCAGCCUAUUAGAGAUUAACGUUUUACCAAAACAGCUCUGAAUUUCUUCCACAUAAGCACCGAAGUCCUCAUAUUUAAUGUACUGAUGCCCCACUAUAAUUGCAGGAUUUGUGAAAAGUUCUUUUCCGAUAUAUUCACUAGUGCUUACUUUACAUUUUGUAAAGUAAACGAUACAGAUCGAUUUCAAAGUUGUGGUAUAUAGGAAGCAGGAAAAUAUUAUGAACCGAAUUUCAUUCAAAUUGGUCGAGUAGUUUCGUAGAUAUGGUUUAUGGCAUAUAUGUAUGCGGAGCCACACCCAUUUAAAAUUGUGUAUACCAAUUUGAGUGCAGCCUUUAUGUACAUCUUUAUAAUGAAAUUUAAAGUUUGUAGUGUUUUUCAUUACUGAAUUAAAGCAUUGUAUUAAAGGUAGGCGUGGUUGCCAAGCGAUUUUCUCCAUUUAGACAACUCUAGAGAGUUUGGUUGAUAUAGCUUUUGUAGUUUACGAGAUAUGUAGAAAAACUUUGUAGGGGCGGGGCCACUAGGCCAUCCUACCACCAAUAAUUACGAUUUUAUUGCAUACCGUAAUGGUUGUUGUUGGACGCAUUACUUUUAGACAGGUUUUUAAAUUUGUUAAUUAUUCUUUCUCUAGUAAAAGUUAUUUAUUUAUUUUCAGCAUAACCUGUUACGAUAUAACAUCACCGUUCAGUCGCUUAAAUGAUGUUUUUAAAUGUUAAGAAUUAGAAGGUCUUUCCAAAGGUGUGGAGAUUUUCAUCUUCAACGGCUUCACCAGCAGGUACUGCAUCGAACACAUUCAAAGCUGGAGCACUUUCGUCCAUUCGAACAACAUAACCUGUAGUGGGUAGUCGCUGUAUUUUCAUUCGCUGUACUAUGUCUACGUCGUCGUAGAACUACUACAGCUCAUCGUUCCAUCGACUGUGGUAUUCGCCGUUGUCAAUGUUCAAAGGACCUUUCUCGUAAACUUCUAGUGUCGUCUCAUCGGAUGUCGUUAUCGUCCACGCUUCUGCACCAUAUAUCAGGACGAAAAUAAUACUUGAGCAACUUGUAGUGUUUGGUUUUGGUUCGUCGAGAGAGGACUUAACUUUUCAAUUGCCCUCUCAGUCCAUAGUAGCACCUGUUGGUAAGAGAGAUCCUGCGUAUGAUUUCGAGGCUGACAUAGUUGGUUCCAUGUAUGGGUGAUUCUACGAUAAGAGGUAACUUGUGCGGCAAUCAGCUUAAAGUAUUGUGUUUGUCCUUUGUGUUGCUAUUUUUUUUUUAAUGAAUCACAUCAUAUUAAUGCAAUGUAUUAAAUAAAAUUACAACUUACUGCAUAAUUAACGCAAUUUUUUCUCAAAUUCCUUACAAAGUCCAAAAAAGUCUCUCCCCUGGCUUGUCCCAUUGCUACUUACUGCAUAAUUAACGCAAUUUUUUCUCAAAUUCCUUACAAAGUCUAAAAAAGUCUCUCCCCUGGCUUGUCCCAUUGCUACUUUUUAUUUAACUUUCGGGCAAUACAUAUAUUUUUUGUGGGAGAUGCUAAACCUAAACUAAGUUCAAUCGGAAGUAAAAUAAUUAAAUUUAAGUACUGUUAAAUAAAAAACAAAAUUAUUUUGUUUAUUUCAUAUAAUAUUUAAUAUUAACUUUUGUCCCGAUUUUUUAAUGUAUCUACCCUCCCAAAUUUUGUUCGCCGUGUACGACAUAAAUUCCAAGACGACCGCAUUGAAAAAAGUGCUCAAGAACAUAUAUCAGCUUGAAGUUAACAAUACUAAUCGCGAAAUCCGUUUGACCGCUGUAGUUUUUUAGUUAUUGCGGCCCGAUCGUGCGGUGUACUGGAUUCGAAAACUGAUUUUGACUCUCCCCUGGCAAUUCAUAUUACGUAUACUAUUAAUUUAAUUUAUUUGCCUUUAUUGUCCUAAGUUACUAAUACUGUGAUAAUUAAAGUGAAAUAAAUAAUUAACCCAAAAAAUAAUUAGUCACUUAAAACAAUUAAAUUUUUCAUGAAAACGUCUCUCCCCUGCCGUAUUUCCCCUGGCAAAAUAACUACUAGGGGAGAAAGUUAGAGACCAGGGAAGAUA